UACGUAGGGUCCGAGCGUUGUCCGGAAUUAUUGGGCGUAAAGGGCGCGUAGGCGGUCUGGCAAGUGAAAGGUGAAAUCCCUCGGCUCAACUGAGGAACUGCCUUUCAUACUGCUUGACUUGAGUCCGGGAGAGGUGAGUGGAAUUCCCAGUGUAGCGGUGAAAUGCGUAGAGAUCGGGAGGAACACCAGAGGCGAAGGCGGCGACCUGGACAAGUACUGACACUCAACUACGAAAGCGUGGGAGCGAACAGG
rnacentral:rRNA from 1 species